rnacentral:lncRNA from 10 species
GUACCUCUGAUGAGCUAAAAUUUAUUUUCCUUGUCUCCCAGGGAAGAAGAGUGAGAGCUGAAGUUAAGUGGGAGAACAGAAAUCCAGGCCACCAGCCUCCAUGGCACCUGAUGAGGAUGCAGACCUGCUCUCAGCUCUGCCUACUGAACAUUUAACUGCCGUUUGCAUCCAAACAGGGAGCUCAGAGGAAGCCUCCAGCUCUUUGCAUUCCCCACUUUCAUUCAUCUUUCAGGAAGUCCUAACAGACACAGAGUCUUGAUGGGGGCCUGGAGGGAGCCCUCCAUGGACCCAACAACUGUGAACUUUUCCCUGGCUGGCUUCCUAACGAAUCUGCUUCCUCAAUACUCAGCCACAGCCAAGAAUAUGAGAAAGAACCGGCAUCUUGAAAUUAACAGAGAAUUUUCCCCUUUUGUUUCCUAUCUGAAUUGCUUAGAGUGCUUUACAAAUUAAAGUCAAUAUCGUGGUAUACAACAGAAACACAUACAGGAUCUAAAAAGCUACAAACUGGCUGAGGGUCUUUCUCUCCAGAAAUGAGGAAGAAUGUGAGGAGAAAAAACACCUUAGAACUUUGAUUCAAUAAAAUAUCUAACCAUCCAAUAGUAUUUCCUAUUAUAAUAUUAAAAAAUAGUAAGUCAUGAAAAUAACUUCUUCCUACAAAAUGAAUAACUUUAAAAAAGUAAUUGAAAUAUAUUUUUUCUAUUUCUCAUAUCCGUUCAAUGCUAUUCUGAGGUGAUUCACACUCUCCAUAUUACAUUGGUUUUAGGAUGUUAUGAUUCUUUCAGAAAGCACUUAUUCCUCUAUUUGAAUCCAGAUACAUAAGGCCUUUUACACUUCACACUGCCUAUAAUGAUGCCAACAGCAGGAAAUCCCAAAAGAGUAGAGACACUGGAGCUUAGAGGUGAUAACUAACUUAUCUAAUGCCCCGUAGCUGGUUAAUCGGCAGAACUGGGAUGCCCAUCUAUCUGAUUUUCAUGUCUCUGCUCUGGAACUGAACAAUAUAACACUUUGGAGCAAGGCAGAGUGAAGUUCCAGUCUGGGCUCCACCAGUUAGUAGCUAUAUAAUUGAAGGCAAGUGACUUAACCUUGCUAGGCCACCAUUUCCUUCUCUGUAAAUGGGGAUCCAUUCAGUUAUUCUUUCAUUCAACAAGUAUCUGUUCACUAACUCCACAUGGUGUCUCUAAAGAUUUAGUGCAAUAAAGGAGCUCAAAUGUUUAACAGAGGACCAAGCUCACAGUAUGUCCUCAAUAAGUAUCAAUUCCAUUUUGCCCAUAUUUAUAGUUUACGUUGGAGAGAUGGAAGAAGGAAUGGGUAUCUGUUCAUACGUAUAAUUCAGCAUGGAGUGUUAACUAAUAAAUUAGUUCACUCAUCCAACAAACUUUUU